CAGUCGCCGCGGGAAUACGUAGGGUGCAAGCGUUAAUCGGAAUUACUGGGCGUAAAGCGUGCGCAGGCGGUUUGUUAAGACAGAUGUGAAAUCCCCGGGCUCAACCUGGGAACUGCAUUUGUGACUGGCAAGCUAGAGUCUGGCAGAGGGGGGUGGAAUUCCGCGUGUAGCAGUGAAAUGCGUAGAUAUGCGGAGGAACACCUAUGGCGAAGGCAGCCCCCUGGGCCAACACUGACGCUCAUGCACGAAAGCGUGGGGAGCAAACAGGAUUAGAUACCCGAGUAGUCCCUGUCUCUUAUAC
rnacentral:rRNA from 1 species